GAAUAUUGGACAAUGGGGGCAACCCUGAUCCAGCCAUGCCGCGUGUGUGAAGAAGGCCUUUUGGUUGUAAAGCACUUUAAGCAGUGAAGAAGACUCCAUGGUUAAUACCCAUGGACGAUGACAUUAGCUGCAGGAUAAGCACCGGCUAACUCUGUGCCAGCAGCCGCGGUAAUACAGAGGGUGCAAGCGUUAAUCGGAAUUACUGGGCGUAAAGCGCGCGUGGGUGGUUUGUUAAGUUGGAAGUGAAAUCCCCGGGCUUAACCUGGGAACUGCAUCUGAUACUGUUAGGCUAGAAUAGGUGAGAGGAAGGUAGAAUUCCAGGUGCAGCGGUGAAAUGCGUAGAGAUCUGGAGGAAUACCGAUGGCGAAGGCAGCCUUCUGGCAUCAUAUUGACACUGAGGUUCGAAAGCGUGGGUAGCAAACAGG
rnacentral:rRNA from 1 species